UCGGGAAUUUUGGGCAAUGGGCGAAAGCCUGACCCAGCAACGCCGCGUGAAGGAUGAAGUAUUUCGGUAUGUAAACUUCGAAAGAAUAGGAAGAAUAAAUGACGGUACUAUUUAUAAGGUCCGGCUAACUACGUGCCAGCAGCCGCGGUAAUACGUAGGGACCAAGCGUUGUUCGGAUUUACUGGGCGUAAAGGGCGCGUAGGCGGCAAUUCAAGUCAUCUGUGAAAUCUCCGGGCUUAACUCGGAACGGUCAGAUGAUACUGCUUUGCUAGAGUGCAGAAGGGGCAAUCGGAAUUCUUGGUGUAGCGGUGAAAUGCGUAGAUAUCAAGAGGAACACCUGAGGUGAAGACGGGUUGCUGGGCUGACACUGACGCUGAGGCGCGAAAGUUAGGGGAUCAAACAGGAUUAGAUACCCCGGUAGUCCCUGAGCGGGCUGGCAAGGCGCAU
rnacentral:rRNA from 1 species